UUAGACAACACUCCAGAGAUGAACUCUUCUCCAGGCUUAGUGACUGUGGUACUCUUAAUGCUUGGACAAGCCCAUGGUGACUCAGUGACUCAGAUGGAAGGCCAAGUGAUCCUCUCAGAAGGGGCUUCUCUAAAUAUGACCUGCACUUAUUCAGCCACUGGGUACCCCACUCUUUUCUGGUACAUUCAAUAUCCUGGAGAAGGUCCGCAGCUCCUCCUGAGUGCCAAGAAGGACAACGAGAUGGGACGCAACAAAGGUUUUGAAGCCAAAUACAAUAAAGAAGCUACCUCCUUCCACUUGGUGAAAGCCUCAGUCCUAGAGUCAGACUCAGCAAGGUACUACUGUGCUCUGAGUGACACAGUGACAGGAACUGCAGGGGGAGCUGAGCGCAAACUCUGA